ACCCAUCAGAAAGUCUACUGACUCGCCACUGCUCCUAGCGGUAUCGGUGCGACACUGAGUAAAAAAAGGCGGUCAAUUAAUUUGUUUACGUUUAUCAUACUAGCAACUGAGAAAAAAAAAUUAGCGAAUAUUUAUCUAAUUAGUUUGGCGAUGAUUGUAUGGUGUAAUUGAAGAGUAAUAGUUGUUUCCUAAGCCAACUCAUUGCAUAAAUUUUAAGCAUGGAUACAACAGCAAAAGAUGAAAAUAAUCACACAGAAGCAGGAUUUGCUGAGGACGAUGUUAAGAAAACUCCUACUGCGAUAUUUAAACAAAAAUUUAAACCGUUCAGGCGAACACGGUCUUUAAAUGCACCCAGUCCUAUUUGUCAGUUCGGACCCUGUGGCCGGAUAAUGAAAAACUCUGCUAUGGUAAUGACAAUACAGGAUCCUGCGAGUCAACGACUGACAUGGAACAAACCUCCUCUUACAGUCCUGGUGAUCAAGAAGGUUCACGAUAUUGCAGUCAUUCAGCCAUUCAUCGAUCUCGUCAAUUGGCUCAUUUUCGAAAAACACAUGCUGGUUUUCGUAGAGGCAUCUGUACUGGAUGAAAACUAUCUUCUCCUCAAUUCAUCAUACACACCCAUUAAAGAAAAACUCUGCACAUUUAAAGAAGGUAAAGAUGACCUUACUGACAAAAUCGAUUUCAUCAUCUGCCUGGGUGGGGAUGGCACGCUUUUGUAUGCCUCGUCACUUUUUCAGCAAAGCGUUCCUCCAGUCAUGGCAUUUCACCUGGGUUCCUUAGGAUUCUUAACGCCAUUCGAAUUCGACAAUUUCGAAGAACAAGUCACGAAUGUUCUCGAAGGUCAUGCUGCUCUUACCCUAAGGAGUAGGCUUCGCUGUAUAAUUGUCAGAAAAAAUGACCUUAGCGACAAAAAGAAUGAACCUCACACGACAUUCCUGGUUCUGAACGAAGUUGUUGUCGAUCGAGGUCCAUCUCCGUAUCUUUCUAACAUUGACCUUUACCUUGAUGGAAAGCAUGUGACGACUGUUCAAGGAGAUGGCUUAAUUGUUUCAACGCCAACUGGCAGCACAGCAUACGCUGUGGCCGCUGGUGCUUCCAUGAUACACCCCAGCGUUCCUGCCAUCAUGAUCACCCCCAUUUGCCCACAUUCCUUAUCUUUCAGACCCAUCGUGGUUCCAGCAGGAGUUGAACUUAAAAUUAUGGUGUCUCCUGAAUCCCGAAACCUGGCAUGGGUGUCCUUUGAUGGAAGAAAACGGCAAGAACUUAGACACGGUGACAGCCUUCGAGUGACCAUGUCAAUCUACCCCAUUCCUUCCAUUUGUUCUCAAGACCAAAUAAGUGAUUGGUUCGACAGUCUUGCUGAAUGCCUGCACUGGAAUGUGAGGAAGAAGCAGCGACAGUUGGACGAAUAUUCGGACCUUGUCCAUUCCUCUUCAUCUGAUACGAUUGAUUCCAUUGAUAGUCAUCACAUUGACUCCUAGGAAUCGAUUGCCUCCACGAUAUGAUUCCAUCACUAUUGGCUCCUAGGUGAGCAUCAACGCAUAGAAUUUAAAAAAUCGUUUCAUUGGUCGAAUUGGCGUGUCUUCCACAAAAAAAUCAUGGUUGUAAUAAAUGGCUUAUCGGACAACUCAGAAAAGUAUUGUCUUCAAGGAACUUCAGAUGAACACCUCAAAAUGUACACCAGAGUUUCUAAGUGCUAUUUUUUAUUUGUCCGAGAGGCAGCUGUACGAAACAGAAUUAUUUGUAAACUAAACGGAAAGACUGUAGUCGACUUGACUGUAUUUCGAUGGGCACUGUAACGGUCAAAACAAUUAAAAGCAUAUUAAAAUCAUUUUCUUAAAAGACGGAUUAAGUAUAAAUGAAAAAUAAUUAUUUUUAAUUAAUUAAGCCUAUUUAUUAUUGAGCUAAUUUAAGCCUAUCUCAAUUUUUAAUGGCCUUAAUUUUCCUUAUCAACUAAACUUGACAUAAUAUGCUUUUAAUUCAUUAUAAUUCAUCAGUUUUUAUUUAGACUUGAUCUUUUGGAUUUGGAAUUUUUAAUGUUUGGAAAAUGCUCUAUGGUCAUCGGCAAUUGCUUCGUUUAAGCCCAUAGAUUUAUACAAAAUAUCCUAGAAUGUCUGACUUUUUAUCAAUUAUACCUCUUUUUGACUACAAAAAAAAAACCCAUCGAAACGCAAAGAUUUACGGUAGGGGUUGUCUUUUGUAAGCGAAGGUGAAAUUUAUUGUGAGAAAAAUUGAUUUUUAAACAGGAUAUGUAUGUCUUUCAUUAUGGUUUAAACAAUAAUUUGCAUGAUAAUAUCGAAUUGAGUUCUUUGGCCUAUUUUAAUUCUCACUACAAUUCAUUGAAAUCGUUCCAAAUGAUGUAAUGUGAAUAAUUUUUACAAAGAAAACUUGUAUUUCAUAUUCAUUCUACCAUUAAAGUAUUUUUUUAUUUUGA
rnacentral:misc_RNA from 1 species